rnacentral:rRNA from 1 species
UCCGGAGGUUGCAAGCGUUAUCCGGAUUUACUGGGUUUAAAGGGUGCGUAGGUGGGUAGGAAAGUCAGUGGUGAAAUCUUCGGGCUUAACCCGGAAACUGCCAUUGAUACUAUUUAUCUUGAAUACUUUGGAGGUAAGCGGAAUAUGUCAUGUAGCGGUGAAAUGCUUAGAUAUGACAUAGAACACCAAUUGCGAAGGCAGCGUACUACACAGUUAUUGACACUGAGGCACGAAAGCGUGGGGAUCAAACAGG